rnacentral:rRNA from 1 species
AGAGUUUGAUCCUGGCUCAGGACGAACGCUGGCGGCGUGCUUAACACAUGCAAGUCGAACGGUGAAGCCCUUCGGGUGGAUCAGUGGCGAACGGGUGAGUAACACGUGGGCAAUCUGCCUCGGAUUCUGGGAUAACACCGGGAAACCGGUGCUAAUACCGGAUAUGACCUGGGAGCGCAUGCUCCUGGGUGUAAAGGUCC